AAUGGAACGUCUGGCCGGCAGGCCCUAACACAUGUCAAGCUCGGGCCGGGAUCACAGCGUAAGACCUUUGGUAUCUCCGGUGGACAAGACGCCGGACAGGUGAGUAAUGUCUGGGAAACUGCCUGAUGGAGGGGGAUAACUACUGUAAACGGUAGCUAAUACCGCAUAACGUCUCAAGACCAAAGAGGGGGACCUUCUGGCCUCUUGCCAUCUCAUGUGCCCAGAUGGGAUUAUAUAGUAGGUGGGGUAACGGCUCACCUAUGCGACAAUCCCUAUCUGGUCUGAGAGGAUGACCAGCCACACUGGAACUGAGACACGGUCCACACUCUUACGGGAGGCACCACUGGGGAAUAUUGUACAAUGGGCGCACGCCUGAUGCACCCAUGCCGCGUGUAUGAAGAAGGCCUUCGGGUUGUAAAGUACUUUCAGCGGGGAGGAAGGCGAUAAGGUUAAUAACCUUGUCGAUUGACGUUACCCGCAGAAGAAGCACCGGCUAACUCCGUGCCAGCAGCCGCGGUAAUACGGAGGGUGCAAGCGUUAAUCGGAAUUACUGGGCGUAAAGCGCACGCAGGCGGUCUGUCAAGUCGGAUGUGAAAUCCCCGGGCUCAACCUGGGAACUGCAUUCGAAACUGGCAGGCUAGAGUCUUGUAGAGGGGGGUA
rnacentral:rRNA from 1 species